rnacentral:rRNA from 1 species
UACGUAGGGUCCGAGCGUUGUCCGGAUUUAUUGGGCGUAAAGCGCUCGUAGGCGGUUCCGUAAGUCUGAUGUGAAAACUCAGGGCUCAACCCGGAGACGCCAUCUGAUACUGCGGUGACUGGAGUCUGGUAGGGGAACACGGAAUUCCUGGUGUAGCGGUGAAAUGCGCAGAUAUCAGGAGGAACACCGAUGGCGAAGGCAGUGUUCUGGGCCAGGACUGACGCUGAGGAGCGAAAGCGUGGGGAGCAAACAGG